UAGGGUGCGAGCGUUGUCCGGAAUUAUUGGGCGUAAAGGGCUCGUAGGCGGUUUGUCGCGUCGGGAGUGAAAUCCACUGGCUUAACUGGUGGCUUGCUUUCGAUACGGGCAGACUGGAGGUAUGCAGGGGAGAACGGAAUUCCUGGUGUAGCGGUGAAAUGCGCAGAUAUCAGGAGGAACACCGGUGGCGAAGGCGGUUCUCUGGGCAUGUCCUGACGCUGAGGAGCGAAAGUGUGGGGAGCGAACAGG
rnacentral:rRNA from 1 species